rnacentral:rRNA from 1 species
AUGCACGCUGGCGGCGUGCCUAAUACAUGCAAGUCGCGCGCACGGACGAGAAGCUUGCUUCUCUGAUGUUAGCGGCGGACGGGUUAGUAACACGUGGAUAACCUACCUAUAAGACUGGGAUAACUUCGGGAAACCGGAGCUAAUACCGGAUAAUAUUUUGAACCGCAUGGUUCAAAAGUGAAAGACGGUCUUGCUGUCACUUAUAGAUGGAUCCGCGCUGCAUUAGCUAGUUGGUAAGGUAACGGCUUACCAAGGCAACGAUGCAUAGCCGACCUGAGAGGGUGAACGGCCACACUGGAACUGAGACACGGUCCAGACUCCUACGGGAGGCAGCAGUAGGGAAUCUUCCGCAAUGGGCGAAAGCCUGACGGAGCAACGGCGCGUGAGUGAUGAAGGUCUUCGGAUCGUAAAACUCUGUUAUUAGGGAAGAACAUAUGUGUAAGUAACUGUGCACAGCUUGACGGUACCUAAUCAGAAAGCCACGGCUAACUACGUG